GUAGCUCAACCUAUUCUUGCAGAUGCUGGAUCUUCUUAUGUCAUCAUUGACGAUAGCGACGAAGUGGGAACUGUGUCUCUGCCUUCGCUUGUUCUUACUCCUGAACCGGUGGUAGUUGCGCCUCCUGUUCAUACUACUGAAGAAGCUACUUCUGAAUAGGAACCUGAACCUCUUGGCCGAGGUUUUAGAUAGAAGAAGCCACCUACAUGACUUGCUGACUAUGUAGCAACAUUGUUACAUGAACUGACACUUUCGGCUACUCCAUAUCCUCUUGAAAAUUAUCUUUCCAGCGAGCACUUCUCAAUGAAUUAUCAAGCGUUCCUUGCUGUGAUAACUUCUGCUGUUGAACCACAGACUUACGCAGAGGCAAUCAAAGAUGAAAAAUGGAGAUUUGCAGUAACUCAUGAAAUUGAUUCUCUUGAAGAUCAAGGUACAUGGACAGUCGAAGCCUUACCUCCUGGAAAGAAAGCACCUGGUUGCAAAUGGGUAUUUAAAAUUAAAUUCAGAGCAGACGGCACGGUUGAGAGAUACAAGGCUCGGUUAGUGGUUCUUGGGAAUCAUCAAUAUGAAGGCAUUGAUUAUACUGAGACGUUCGCACCUGUCGCAAAGAUGGUUAUGGUCUGUACUUUUCUUCAGCAAGCAGUAUCUUUAGACUGAGAAGUACAUCAAAUGGAUGUUAAUAAUGCAUUUCUUCAUGGAGACCUCGAAGAGGAAGUGUAUAUGCAGUUUCCUCCUGGUUUUCGUACCAAUGACAAAACAAAAGUAUGUCGUUUGUGAAAAUCGCUUUAUGGCUUAAAGCAAGCGCCUCGAUGUUGGUUCGGAAAAAUUGCGGCUGCUUUGAAAGAGUAUGGUUUCGAAAAAAUCAUUCUGAUUACUCUCUCUUCAUUUAUGCUGCAGCUGGAGUUCGGUUACAUGUACUUGUGUACGUCGAUGAUUUGAUCAUCACUGGAAGUUCUGCUGCGAUUAUCACUGAGUUCAAACAGUAUUUGAGUACGAAAUUUCAUAUGAAGGAUUUGGGAGUCUUGCGAUAUUUUUUGGGGAUUGAAAUUGCUCGCAGUCCCGCAUGAAUUUACUUGUGUCGACGGAAGUAUGCUCUGGAUAUUAUUACAGAAACUGAUCUUCUUGGGGUCAAGCCUGUCUCGUUUCCUUUGGAACAAAAUCACAAGCUUGCUCAUGCCAAAGAUACUCCAUUCUCUGCACCGUCCAGAUACCGUAGACUGAUUGGUCGUAUCAUAUAUCUUGGAGUCACGAGACCAGAGCUUUCGUAUGUGAUACAUUUAUUGUCGCAGUUUAUGAAUGAUCCGCAAGAAGAACAUUGGAAUGCUGCUCUUCGUGUUGUACGAUACCUAAAGAAUAGUCCAAGACAGGGAAUACUUCUUCGUGCAAACACUGAGCUGAAGAUUACAGCAUGGUGAGAUGCGGACUGGGGCACUUGUCCGACCACUCAUCGUUCACUCACGGGAUGGUUCAUGCAAUUAGGAGGUUCUCCGGUAUCUUGGAAAACACAUAAGCAUGAUGUUGUCUCGCGAUCGUCUGCCGAGGCAGAGUACCGCGCAAUGGCUGAUACUGUUAGCGAACUUCUUUGGUUUCGCGGGUUGCUUCCAGAAAUGGGGAUAACGUGUGAUGCUCCUAUUGUUCUCCAUUCAGAUAGUAUGUCUGCAAUUCAUUUGGCCAAGAACCCUGUGUAUCACGCUCGCACCAAGCAUGUUGGGAAUGAUUGCCACUUCAUUCGAGAUGAGAUCAUUCGAGGCACGAUUGCAACUAAACAUGUCUCGACGAAGUCGCAGCUCACGGAAAUUAUGACAAAGGCACUGGGACGUCGAGAGUUUGAAGAAUUCCUUGGCAAGCUGGGUGUUUGUAACCUCCACACUCCACCUUGAGAGGGGGUAUUGGGCCAUAUUGGGCCGAUGUAUCUAUUGUAAGUAGCCCGGUUCAUAUAACGGGAUUAGGGCAAAAGAACAUACAUUGUAUAUAAGCAGUUAGUCUGCGUUACUUGAUGAAUAAGAAGUAUUAUUUAUACUGCUGAGACUUCUUGACAGAGAUGGUUAAGAACGGGAGAAGCGAGAGUAGGUUCAUUUUUGUCAAAAUGUGAUCUAAGGUCUAAUUUUCGUGUCUAGCCAGCUUAUAAACGUCAUUGAAGAAAAUAUAUGUACCUCUGACAUAAAGUGUGUGAUCGUGGAUUCGUGGGUAUAUCUUAGCUUUAGUGUAUUCGAAUUCACGAUAUGUGAAGAUGUACGUGACUUAGAGCAGGAUUAUCGCGGGUUACAAGAAGGGGUUUCAAGUGGUGGGACCCAUUUUUUGGGUUAAAAACGGUAACAGAGGAGAGGAAAUAAGGAUCGACUUUGGUAUAUUUCUUGCACUAUUCAUAGACCCCACUGACACGUGACGACCCGCGAUUGGUGGUCUUUUUAAUUUUUUUUUUUUUUAAUCAGCUUGAAAAAAAAAUGGGAAAAUUUGUGCCUAUGAAAACCUGGUCUUAACCUUAGUUAAUUCUAGAUGAAUGGCCUAGUGCGUCGCUCUCAAUGGAAGUAUUUUAGUUGUUAUUGUGUCACUAGUCGAGUUUAAUAUUAUGAAUUUUUUUUUGACAAUUUUAUUAUAUUUUGAUAAUUGGUACGAAGUGAUAUUUAUGAGGUCAUUUGUUUUUAAUAUUUGUUUUUAAAAUACACAAAAGUACAAUAAAAAUAUUUUGUUUAUUACAAAAGUCAGCAAUAGAAACUAUCAUAAAGUCACAAGGUACAUAUACGCAUAAAUGAAGUAUUACGGGUGAUCUUAAUUUGUAGAAUUGAUCAUCACCAUAUGUAUUAACUCAACUUUUUACUCUGUACGUAUAAACGAUUUGCUUCGUUCACUCUUAGAAUCAGAACUCUAAAAGUUAAUUAAUUGAUCAUAUGUGGUACACUGGUACUUGUCAUUAUGGCACCAAGCGAAUUUCACUUUACGGCGAAUGAGAACGCAUCCGAUUUUUUCAUAUAACUAACGUUUGAAUUGUUUUCGAGCAUGAUUAACCCAGAAUUCUUAGAAUAGGGUUUUUAGCGGAAGUUAAGAAUCUCACUGUAAGAACUCCGAGUUAAUCGUGAUCUUAUGUGGCAUGAAUUAUCUCAGAGUUCAGAGGUCGACUCGUAUUUUAUUAUAAUAUGACAUCGAUGUGUGCUAAUUUAAUAUUUUUUAUUGAUGGCUUAUCCAGUAGUUUAGAAGUUGUUUAAAAAGUUGAGCAAAUAGAUUUUAUAUGAUUCGUAGACCGAAUUCAAGAUUUGGGAUUUUCUCAAAAUAUCUGAAUUUGGGAUAAUUUUGUUUAUUAUCUGGAUAUCUAUACUAAAUUCUUAUGCUUAUAUUCUAACUACCGUGAUAACACGUAAAUAUAUUGUAUAUAUGUCACUUUAUCCAAAUACUUUUAAUGCAUUUGUCUAAACAUGAGAAAGUCAGCAGUCUGCAGUAUUUUCGUAUGCGUUUAAUCCGGUAAAUCGAACUAAUACAAUGUUAACCUAAUUAACAAAUCAAUUCAGAAAACUAAAUAUAUUUGAUUAUGUUUUAAAUAGAAUCAUGUUUUUUCAUUGGGAAUCAAGAUAAAAGUUUUACAAUAUAUAUAUAUAUAUAUUUAAAUUCAUAAAUCAGAAAUCUUAAAAGACAAAAUCUAAGAGGGAACCUAAAUUCUGAUUAAACAACACCGCUAUUUAUUUCUCUUACCGAAACACUCGAGCUGUAUUGUAUGCGUGGUGACCGUUUGGCACGAAAUAAUUUGCAUCUAUUCGUGGGUCGGGUUCACUAGUCAAAGUAUCGAUUGCGUAACUUUUCAAGUUACUGGUCCGUUGAUUUGUGGUAAUUCUUGGCACAUCUAAUCUACGAUAAAUUAAAAUUAGUUUUCUAUUUUAAAGUUGUAAUAUACUAUGAAUUUAGCUUCAAAAAACAUAAUUUGUUUUAUGCAAAUGCAACGAGAUGCCACACUCUCAAUAAUGUCGACAUGAAAAAGGAAAAUAAGACUAAUAUGCCCAUGAGAAUAUCCCCAAGAUUCCCCAUGCAAACGAGAGUAGCUACAGUAAUUAUAUAAUACAAAUCAUGUCUUAUAUAUUCAGUUAUCCCUUAUUGUCAAUUAUUUACAAAGCCUACCAUAAUUUUCAUUAAGCAAACAUACAUUGAAUAAUUACAUAUAUUGACGCAGUAAUAUAUUUCGAACACGAUGAUAGAGAUACACAUACUCCCUAAACAUGAUCCAAAGUACUCAUAAAUCUACCAAGCUACAAAACGGUGUCCAACAUUUGAUUAUUUGUAAUGGUUAUUUAUAUAUCUUCGGUGGGUGUCUCCUCAUCGGUAUCAGGCAAAUUAAAGAAAACAAAAGCAAAUAAGUUUCUAAAUUGCCCGUACGUGUGAAGUUUGAACAAUUUAUUAGUAAUGCAGUAGUAAUGCAUGAUACCGAUUAUUUAUUCAUGAAUCGACGUUGACGGGAAGAAAAAUAAUAAUUGAUGUUGACAUGAAUAAGGAGAGCUUGCCACGAAGAUGGUAGGAGCCGACAGAAAGCUAAAGUCCAUAAUUAAUUAUUUUGUUAAAAGAUAGUACUAAUGAUCGACUAUAGACCAUAACUUAGUAUUCCUCAUUUAUUAUUGUCUAUUUUCUACCAGCGAUGAUAAACACAAAUGAAACACACAGCAAAUUGUAAAUUCUGAUUCGAGAUGCAAUCUUAGAAACCUUAGCAAAGAAAACUUUAGAAUGCAACCAAACCAACUCAAAGUAAACCGAAAGAAUUAAUUGAGUCGAUGUUCCAGUUUUUGGAAGUAAAACCUCCAUUAUAUGCUGGUUAAUUACAUUUUUAUCAUUAAACUUUGAAAUGUUAUAAGAGAUCUAUGUUUAUUUAUUUAUUUGUGAUUAAUUAAUUCUCUGAUAUUUAUUGGAAAUAUUUGGAUUAUGCGGCCAAUAUAAUUUCUUUUAAGUGCUUGUAUAAUUAAAUAAAGUUGGUAGCCAUAUAGUCUAAAGUUGUGAUUGGUAUUUACGAUACUUUUUCCCUAAAGAUAAUUACUUUAAGAUGUUGACGAUGAAAUCCACGCGGUUUACGGAAUCUUCAGUUAACCGAGACAAUUAUUCCAUUCCAUCAAAUGUGAUUUGAGAAAUUAAUUGAAUGCUAAAUAUUUUCUCAAUCAUGGUUAACAUUUUAAUUUAGACUUCCGUAUACUUGACAUUUUCUUUUGCUUUUUGCUUUUUGUAUAUUGUUUACACUCUACAAACUUGAAUACACAAUAACAACAAACACAAUCCAUUAUCAGGUGUGCAACAUAAGUACAUUAAGUAGGGAACAAAACCAACGGCGAGACAGUGAAGCAACUUCUCUCGCACAAAAAAUCUUGUAAAAACAAUUGAUAAAAAGCGUUUAAAAUCGUCUGAUGUUAAGCGAAACAUAGGAAAUACAUAGUAUGAGGAUAUACAAUAACUUGCUACCUAUAACUAAACAGUAUAUAGAUUUAUCGCUAAUUAUUGAAUUUGUUUAGACUAAUGAUUGUGCUACUUUUGUAAUCUCUAAAUUAUCAAAACUUAUUGGACCAUAUAAAAUUAAGUGGAAGGUUGUUUCAUAUUGUAUAAAUAUCAUAUCGGAGACUUGGCAUUUCCGAUGAUAUUUUUACGUACACAUCCCAUUCGUAUCAUCUAAGGACACCACUUUGGUCAGUACAAGUGUACAACAUCUUUGGUCUUUUUUUCGUCAUCCUUUUGACGCAAUUAUAUGUAACUUUAGUGUUGUCUUAUUUUCUUUUGCCUCUUCGAUCUCUCUUUUUUUUAUUACUACUUUUAGAGCUACACUUUACGUUGCUAAAAAAAAAACUACACUUUAGAGCAUCUCCAAAAAACAUUAUAUAACUUCAAAUAUGAAGUUUUUUGCUCUCCAAAAAAGAACUUCAAAACUUCAAAUUUAAAGUUUUGAGGAGUCAAACUCUAUAUUUGAAGUUUCACUACUCAAAACUUCAAAUUUGAAAUUUCAUAUUUUUAUUUGUAUUUUGGUCCAUACAAUUACACAUCACAUUUAUAAUUCAUAAUUUUUUUAUUAUUAUUUUCAUCCUUAUAAAAAUUAUAUCUCAUAAGUAUUUUAAGUUUUGUUUACAAAAUUUAAGUUUACACAUAAAAUUAAAUAAAACUUUAAAAGAAGAUUUAAAAUAUUUAAAACUAGAUUUAGAUAACAAAAAUAUACAAAAAAACUUAACAAUUUUUUUUUAAGAAAUUACAUGAAGACAUAACUAUUAGACAAAUUUAAAUAUUACAAUGACACUAAUAGUCAGGUAAUUUUAAUCCGGAACCUUUAAAAUUUCCAAAUAUUGUCCAAUUUUUUUUGUGUAAUUGAAGAUGAUUGUUGUUGUUGAUGAUGUCUUUUCGUACAAUUAUUUCUUGUUCUUAUAUUCACGAGUAUUAAUAUCAUCGAUAAAAGUUAGUUUUUAGCAAUAUUUUAUGUUUUUCUUUUACUUUCUUGUUCUGAUCUAAUGUAUUUACAAGUAUGAAUAUCUCCUGAUUUCAACAAUUUUUUAUCUCUAAUCUACAAAUUAAAAAUGAGGAGAGCUAUUUUUCCUUCGAAAUGCACUAGUAUAUCAUAUAUGCAUUACGAAAAUCGCUUUAUGGAAUAAUAUGGUAUUUUGGUUGAAGCUUAAUAUUAAUUAAGUUAUUUUGUUUAAAAUUUUAUAUUUUAAUAUAAUAAUUUAUUAAUUAAUAUUGUUGUAAUAUGUUUAUAUAUGUGUUAGUUAUUUAAUUUUUUUUUAUGAAUUCAAAUUAGUAAUGACAAAUAUAAGGACCAUAUUAUAAAAUACAAAUAGUUUUGAAGUUAAGUUUGAAGUUUUGCUUUUGGAGAAAAACACCUUUAAACUUCAAAUAUAGAGUUUUGAAAACUUCAAAAUAGAGUUCAUUUUUGGAGACGCUCUUACAAGCCAUUUUUCAAUUUAUGUGUUGUGUGGUUUGAUUAUAUUGGAUGAAUUCAAAUAUAUUUUCAAAGCAUCAAAUGCUUUAUUUUCUUUUUGGUAAAUUUCAGUUAAGCUCUAGAUAACGACAAAAGAUAACUAUAUUCUAAACCUGAUUUCUAUAACUAGAGCUCUCUUCCAAUGAUAAAACUAAACACCUAUACAAAACCCAAAUUUUGCGGCAGGGCCAAGUUAAGAAAGACAAAUACCGAGAAGUGAGUUAACUUCAACAAAUGUAAAAGAACAUUAAAAUUUUAAAAUAAUAGAAAAUGAUAAACAAAAGCAAAGACGAUGGACCACACACAAAAUAAUAGCAAGUGAGCAGGACGAAAAAUGGAAAAAGAAGAAGAAAGGGAUAAGAAAAAUAGUUGGUAAAAUCUAACUGCCACAAUACUAGAAAAAGAGCAUAGAAAUGGGAAGGCAAACAGAGAAGCCUAAUUGGCUAAUGUCCAACGCAUGUCACUCUACCUACAAAUCUCAGUGGUCCUUAACAUCUACUUCUAACCAACCUCUUGAGUACAAUUAUCUAGAAAAUGCAUACAUACACAUAAGUCACGUAACAAAACCAUUACUGACAUCACCAUGUUAUAUCAUCAUGCCUUUAUGAAAUUAACAAACAUUGUUUUAGUCGUGAUAUACAGAAGAUAACAGCUAUCGGACCAAUAAUCUGCCUUGAUGAUAGGAGAUAUUUUUCGUACCAAUUGUUUAUUUUUAAUAUUUUACUUACCAUCCUUUAUUUUUGGGACGCGGAGAAUUUCAUGUAACAAAGAGCUCAAGACCAGAUGGUAAGGCCCCUUGCUUCCCUAGUGUGUGGGUGGGUUUUUGUUUUUGAAGAAACAAUAUUUAUGAGAAGAUGUCACUUUCUAAAAUUCUUAUUGGAUUAGGUAUUUUUUGGAACUGCGUUAUUAAAAACUACCCACUUUUUACAAUCUGUUCAUUAAAAACUUGUCAAAAAUAUGUUCUGGUCUAUCAAAACUUGCUCAUCACUUAGUAAUAAUGCUCCUUUUUAACUAAACACUUAAACUUAGUCGAUUAGAAACCAAACUAGUAUAUAUUUUGCACAUAUAUAUAUCUUACAAGUAACUCAUCCAUAGACAAGUUUAUAGGUGCUAGAUCUCGAAGCUGGACAUGUUUUGAUAGAACAUAACGUACUUUUGAACAAGUUCUGAUAGAAAAUAUCAAAAGUGGUAGUUUCUAAUACUUUUUUUUCUUAAUAUGGUAGAUCCAAAAGAUUUUGUUUUAAAAGGGCUAAAUGAGGAAAAACCUAAAUAGUGUAAUAAAAUAAUUAUACAAGAGGAAUUUAACACUUUUGAUUUAUUGUAGUACUGAUUCAUUGUAACGUCUUGAUGCGUCAACGUGAGCCCAUGUACAUAUUCUUAUCAAUGGGUUUCACCCUCUUCGAUAUCUUGCGCGUUAUCGAAAGAGUUCAAAAGAACUGAUAUAACCCUGUAACAUGAUCAUAUCCCAUAUUUUGUCCUAACUCAUACGAUAUUAAGAUUGAUCAGCAAUCAGCAAUCUGAUAGGUUAUCCAUUUUUUAAUUAGUCCAGUUCAAACAUAUUCAAAUGGUUAACUGGAAAAUCAAGUGUAUUUUAUAUCAGAGGCAACCAACAUCAAUUUUUAUGUCUUUUCUAUUUAAUCUACUAACUGGGGUAUUACGUACGUUGAUCCCACAGUCCGCAAUAGCAUCUCCAGCUACUGAGACUCUAACCCUACCUUAACUUCUGACAUGCUUUUUUGGUUUUCAACUUCUUAAGACCUAGUCUGCUUGAUAUCACGGAUUGCGAUCUCUUCUUCAACAAUCUCUCUGCAUGAUUGCGAUCUCUUCCUCCUCUAUGCUGUUUAUACUUGGACAAAGUAUUUUCUUCUAUUGAAGUAUAAAAUCUAUGGGUCUUUGCCCGUAGCAAACACUAUCUGGCCUGGGCUGUAUCAUCUUUGUAUCUUUUUAUUUAAAUAGCAAACUUAUCCUCAAAAACAAAUAUACCACCAUAAUUACAAAUUACAAUAUCGGCCUAAUCAUUUUCAAUAUGUUAGAUGAAGCCCAGUAUAUUCAACAAGCCCAUUAUAUUUUUAGUCUCGAAUUCAAUUUUAUUAACUCAGAUCCACCUACUCCUACCGGUCAUUAUCCCUUGAAACUCCUGAACAAGAUGGCAUCAGAUCUUACCGGGCGCUUUUAUGUCAGUAGAAGAAGCUUACCUCCAAAUCCUCAGUGUUUAUGUAUGUUUAACGCAGCCAAAACAACACGUUUUGUGUAAUAUUAAUUCCCAGUGUCUUUUUGUUCAUUGUAAUGCCAUUGGUUGUAACAUUAAUGCACAACUUCAACUGAACACUACCAAUAAAAACGUUUGUGAAAAAAGGUAAAUGUUAUUGCCAGUGAUCUAGACUCGUUACCAGUUUUAGGUCGGAAGGAAGCAUCAGUCCCAUUUAGUUUAUGGUUAACACGUUUUUUAGUUGAUUAGUGCGUAAUAAUGACCUGAAAUUAUAGCCUAUUCUCCGCUACAGUUAGAAGCAACGUAGCAUUCUGAUGAAGACUUGAUCUGUUUAAACCACACCUAACCCAUCGUUGCACCAAACUUUCUUUUUUUCAUUCAUACUUCAAGAAAUCUCAAUGCUCCUAAACUCUUUAUAUAACACACACAAUACUUCACCAAUUGUGACUUGGAGCUUCCAUCUCAAACACAAUGGAUUCAACUUCAAUCAUUUGGUCUCUUCUAUUAGCUUUUGCUCUUAUCUCUCCCUUUAGUGUCAAUGCACAAGGACCUGCCGCUUCACCAGCAACCCCCACCACCACUACUCCUCCUCCAACCAUCACUGUUCCUCCACCAACAACCACUGCUACGCCACCAACAACCACUGUUCCCCCCCCAACAACCACUGCUCAGCCUCCAACAACAGUCGUUCCGCCCGUUUCAGCUACUCCGCCACCAGCAACACCGACUACACCUCCACCAGCAGUUACUCCAACUUCAUCACCACCAGCUCCAAAGGUUGCACCAGUAAUCAGUCCAGUAACUCCACCUCCACAACCACCACCAAGCCCGCCCGUUUCAGCUCCAACCGUCUCACCACCACCAGCUACACCACCACCUGCACCGGCCUCUCCUCCACCGGCGUCACCACCUGCACCAACUUCUCCACCACCAGCACCAGCCUCACCCCCUCCAGCGCUUACGCCAAUAACUCUACCACCAGCUCCAGCUCCUGCUAAGCACAAGAAAAAGCACAAACACAAGCGGCAUCACCAUGCCCCGGCUCCAGCACCAACUCCUCCAAGCCCUCCAUCUC
rnacentral:lncRNA from 1 species